CCCCGGUGGCCUCCGCGCCUCCUGCCUGCCUCUCUGCCUGCGCUGCCUGCUCGGCUCUGGGAGAAUGGCCGCUCUGAACAUUCUGUGGACAGGGCUGGCCCUGCUGGGGAUCCUGGGGGUCCUGCAGAUUCCAACCCAGGCCCAGGCCGCCCUGCAGCCCAACUUCCAAGAGGACAAGUUCCUGGGGCUCUGGUUCACCUCGGGCCUCGCCUCCAACUCGAGCUGGUUCCUGGAGAAGAAGAAGGUGCUGUCCAUGUGCAAGUCGGUGGUAGCCCCCGCGGCAGACGGUGGCCUCAAUCUCACGUCUACCUUCCUCAGGAAAGACCAGUGUGAGACCCGGACUCUGCUGCUGCGUCCUGCAGGCCCCCCAGGCUGCUACAGCUAUACCAGCCCCCACUGGAGCGGCAACCACGAGGUGUCGGUGGUGGAGACGGACUACGAGGCCUAUGCCCUGCUCUACACCGAGAGCUUCCGAGGCCCCGGCCAGGACUUCCGCAUGGCCACGCUCUACAGCCGCACCCAGGCCCCCAAAGCUGAGAUCAAGGAGAAAUUCGCCACCUUCGCCAAGGCCCAGGGCUUCACAGAGGAUAGCAUUGUCUUCCUGCCGCAGACUGACAAGUGCAUGGAGGAGAACACGUAGGUGCUGCUCGUUGGCUGGACCCUCGCGCUGCUCGCGGCAUCCCCAGCGGGCCCAGGUCCCCACCCAGGCCAACUCUGACACCAGCCAGUUCCAGGGCAUCUGGUGCACGGCUGGGGCGGUGUCAGAUGACCAGGGCUUCCUGGACUCCAAGGACAGCAUGAAGAUGCCCGCGGUCUUGGUGAUCCCUUUGGCCAACGGCGACCUGGGCCUCAAGUUUGGGUACCCCGCUUAAGGGAUCCCAGGAGCCCCACCUCGGACUGGCCGUAGGCCCGGCCGGUGUGAGGUCAGACGUGAGCCAGCAGGAGCCAGAGGUGUCCCUGACCCGUCAGGGAGCCAGAGCCAGGCCCGACCCUGACCCUGCGCGAGGCUGCGGGGGCCGUUAAAGCAGCAGCUGCAGCUCGCCUGCUCCCCGAGGGGCCCGCCUGAGGCCUGGGCGUGGAGGAGCAGCGUCCUUGUGCGUGCGUGCGUGCGCGUGUGCGUGCGUGCGCGUGGGUGUGUGCUGUGUGCGUGCGCGUGGGUGGGUGUGUGCGUGUGUGCUUGCGAGUGUGUGCUGUGUGUGCGUGUGGGGGGUGUGCGUGGGGGUGUGCGCGUGCGUGCGCUGCGUGUGUGCACACGUGCACGCACGUGUGUGGGUGUGCACGUGCGUGUGUGUCUGCAGGGGAAACCGGAAGGCCCCACAGACCCCGCAACCCCAGGCUGUGUCCCCCUGCCCCCCACGGUGUCUCCUGACCUGUAAGUGAAUUAUAAAGCACCUGUGUGAUUAAGCAUCGAU